AUUGAACGCUGGCGGCAGGCCUAACACAUGCAAGUCGAACGAGUGGCGGACGGGUGAGUAAUGUCUGGGAAACUGCCUGAUGGAGGGGGAUAACUACUGGAAACGGUAGCUAAUGCCGCAUCCCAUCAGAUGUGCCCAGAUGGGAUUAGCUAGUUGGUGGGGUAACGGCUCACCAAGGCGACGAUCCCUAGCUGGUCUGAGAGGAUGACCAGCCACACGGGAACUUAGACACGGUCCAGACUCCUACGUGAGGCAGCAGUGGGGAAUAUUGCACAAGGGGCGCAAUCCUGAUGCAUCCAUGCCGCGUGUAUGAAGAAGGCCUUCGGGUUGUAAAGUACUUUCAGCGGGGAGGCGUUACCCGCAGAAGAAGCACCGGCUAACUCCGUGCCAGCAGCCGCGGUAAUAC
rnacentral:rRNA from 1 species